rnacentral:rRNA from 1 species
UAAAAUGGUUCUGAUUCAUAUA